GUCGCUGGCAACUGCUGACUGUUUAUCAACAUUUGCAUCGCUUGUCAAGAAAAGUUCCCGAUAUGCACGUUUGUAGUGCCUGCUUAAAAUGCUGCGGUGCUCAAAAUUGGCUUGCUGCUCCUUUNNNNNUCCGUUCUCACAAUCUGCACCAUACAUGUUACUCAAGAUUGGACCAGCCUUGACAACAUAUUGAGGUAGCUGUUUAAAGAAUUUUAUAAUGCUGCAAGAUGUUAUAUCAUAAACUACAUUAAAGCUAGAAGAUCAUGCACUGUAGCUUGAACAGUAAAGUUCCUGAAAUGAAC
rnacentral:misc_RNA from 1 species